GUAAUGUGUCGAGUGUUACAGAUACCCAAACGAAUAAGCUAUAGCUCAUGCCCUUAUUGAGGCUACAAGCCAAACACAAACCAUCUGCAACUAGUUAUACUAAUGUUUGGAAAGUGCUAGAACAGAGUGACGUACACUCUGGAAUCAACAAGAGGGGGCGAUCGGUACUGUCCGAAGUGGGGGUGUCAAAAACAGGGUAGCGUUUGAGCUAGAGGUUGACAGGUGAGGUUGGAAGUUGGACAAGCUCAAGAUGGAGGUGGGCGGCACGCGAGCAGAGAGGGCGGCACGGGCACGGGCCCGAAGGUGAGGCUGCCACGGUAGGCUGGCGCCAGGUAGGGACAGGCCUUCGAGAUCCUGCUAAGGAGUGUGAACUUUGUUCUACAUGUCCUGGCUGUUGAGCAGGGCGGUGUCAGGAGCAGAUCUGGGUCAUUGGAACAAGCCUCCUGGCCACGUGCAGAAGAUGGAAUGAAGGGGGCUGAGGUUAAGGUCACAGGGAACAGCUGGGAGGCAGCUGCCCGAGUUCCUGUGAGUCCUGACAAGACUACAGAGGGGCCGUGGGGCCAGACAGCCAGGGGUUCUGGGGCCAGAAGAGGCCUUGGUUGUGAGAGCGAUGUGAGAAAGGCACUUGAUAAGCUGCCUGCAGCAGUUUCUCCUAAGGGGUCUGCCAAAAACUGCGUGGGAUUUCAGGGUCUGGUUUUCUUCGCCUUCUUCAGGUCGGUUACAUUUCCCAGAAUGGUUCCCAGCGCUGGAGAUAAUUCCUUUUCGGAGAACCUACAUUUCUCACCUGCUGAUUGCAAUUAGCCACUGCCAGCUGGGGCCUGGUGUGCAGCUGAAAAGCUAACAAGAAGUGGAGACCACGCGGAACCCAGACAGGGCAGAGGAUGUGAAUAAAUACGGAAUGGUGCCCGUGUUUAUGAGUCGCUCCGCUGAAUUCCAGGUUUCCCGACCCUCUGGAUGGCCCUCCCUCUUCCGGCUCUGUGCUCCCCGCCCCUCCCCUACCAAUUUUUUUUUUUUUUGUCUCUGGGUCUGUAGCCUACGUUUAACAUCACAGUCACGAAUUUACCACUAAGUACAUUUUGUUAGGCAAUAAACAGCCUCGGAAGAAAAAUGAAAUCGGACUAGGGCUUCUGUUCCAAUCAUGUUUGUGAGCUGUGCUGGAAUCAGGCAGGCCCUGCACGCAGGUCUUAGAGCUAACCUUGAAUAUGAGGACUGGCAGGGCCUGGAGAGGCCUUCAGGAUCACCUCAUCUGAACCCCUCAUUUUAUGCAUGACAACAUGAAGUCCCAGAGGGAGAGCAUGACUUUCCCAAAGUCUUAGAGGAAGUCACGGGGCUGCGUGAAGUCCAUGUCUCCUGAUGGCCAGCUCAGGACUCUAACCACUGAACUGUCUUGGCUUUGAUCAUCGUGGACAGCCAACUUCUAGGGUUUGUGAGGAAAGCAUCAAGGACGUUGCCAAGAGCUGGAAGGAGGGAUGCCAACAGCACAAAGGUCUCUGUGGAGAAAGCCAUGGGGCGAAGUAUUUGGCAACUGCUGCUAGUCGAGUAGAAGGACGAAGCCAGACGCCAGACAAUCAAAGGCAGUGUGGAGCAGGAGGAAACGCAGACAUGUUCGAGCAUUCUAGCGGUGAAUUCGGACCAAGAAGCAAGAAAGAAGGCUGUCGUGGAGGGGUCAGUUGCAGGUCGUAUUUCUGAAUGACGAGCCAGUAGCUUUCUGCUGAAACCACGGGGGCCUGCUCUGGGACGAGCCCCCGGCUGCCGGAGUACGUGCAGGGGGGGUCUUACAAUAUUUAUGGGCUUCAGACGCAUGCCCUCCGGAGCUCCAGGAGGCGAAAGCACAUUCCAGAUGCAUAAAGGCUGAGUAUCCCUGCGUGAAACGCCACGGGAGGCCCCGGUCUCGGCGGAGGCCAGGUGGGUGCCGGUGGAGAGGAGGAGUCCAGAGCCUGAGGCCAACCGGCUUCGGGGCAGGCACCCUCUGGGGCGACUCCUGUGGCUCUUGGCAGAAAAACCGCAGAGAGACCCUUCCCUGAGGGGGUUAGUUAAUUUUCUCGUCACGUUAUUUAACGCGACCACUCUCGCGUACUCCUGUGGGAGCACGAGUGUAGCUGUCUGCUGGCUCUUUCCCUCCCCUGUUAAAGGCUGAACUCCUUCGGGUGACAGAAAUAGGUUACCCUUGUUUCGGAAGGUGCUAGAAGUAAAUCCAGCACUUCAUCGGUGUUUGUUAUACAAAAGGCGGCUUGUUCUCCGUGGCUGGGGUGACUGCAGUGCCUUUGGCCCCAGACCUUGGUCCCGGGCCUUUUGGCAAAGAGGGUUUACAAAGGAGUGACUGUAAUGAAGGAUAAAAGGCCACAGUCUGCUGAAGGUGAAGGGGUAGAGAACAGCAACUUUUGUGUCCUCGGGGCCAGGAAGAACCACCUGGGGCUUCUCGGGUGUGAGUUUAACCUGCCAGUGACUGUGAUAAGGCAUCCUUUUUCCGGACACAUUAUCUGUCGCCACACCGCACGGACCCUCACCAGCUGACAGGAUAGCAGGGGCCAUGCAGAGGCUGGGAGGGGGACGCCGGGAGAGCAGAAAUCAGGCAUUUUGCCAGUUAAGACAACGUCGGCUCCUGGUGGGUAAACCAGAGGUGAAAGCGGGGCACUGGGGCGGCUGGUUCGCCGUGAAUGAGGUUCCUGCCCACCUCAGAAGUGGGCAGAACACCCCAGGCGGCACUUCUCACGGAGGAGGGAGGCAAGAGGCAGUCCUAGCAGAUGUGAGGACAGCCUUUUUCCUGUGAAUUCAAGCUAUUUGGCGCUCUCAAUGGCAGGCCCCAAAGAAACAAAUGAUACUUUGAAGCCUCGACACUGAAAAUAUUUCUUCUGCAACCACGGAACGGAACAACAGGUGAUCUUAGGAGGCCCUUAAGAGUCACUGAGCUCAAUGUCUGUGUCUGAACAACUUGGAGAGUGAGGGGCAGAGACCCCAGCUCUCAGCUUCUGGAAUCCAGGCCAUCUUUCCACUGCACCCUUGCGUCUGCUGUACGCUGUAGGGCGCUUUUGAGGAUACACGUAGAAAAGCAAACCGCAGGCGUGGUUUCAUUGUGCAAUAAUAACCGUAUUAGCUGAGUUCUUCCAAUGGCUGUGACUUUGAGAAACUCCUGACAAUGUUCUGCUCCUCAAGGUCGGGAAUCUGUGCAUAUUUUUUCCUCCCGAGAUCUGUUGCUCAGGUCCCAUGUAUAUAUACAAUGUGGAUCAUCCUUCUAGUGAAUUCCUCUUUCUGCCCCAGUUCAUUCCUGUGGCUUCUACUUGAAGAACCCUAACUGAUACCCUCGCGCAUGUCGCAUUCAUUCAUUCAUUCAUUCACUCACCGUUUAUUUAGCACCACCGCCUGCCAGGCACAGAUAUCAGUACCGGUGAAACAUGACUCCUGUCUUCAAGGACUUCAAGUUUAAUGGGGAAGAGAUACAAGUAAGAAGAAAGGCAGCAGCACGGUUUGUAAGUGCAUGCCAGGGAACAGGAAGUGAAAGCAGCUGAGACUCCAUUGGAGUCAGGGAAGGCUUCCAGAAGAGAGGUUGCUUACGUUAGGCUCUGAUGGGCAGGUAGAGGUGGCCCAAGCAGAGAGAAGGGCAGAGAUGCACUCCCUUUGGAGUGGAAAGCAUUGUACGAAGGUCCAAGGGUGUGCAGAAACAGGGCACAUCUGAGGCUUAGCUCGCAGGUUAGCGGGACAUAGGACAGGCAUGGGGAUAUGGCAGAAGGGGCAGCUGGAGAGGUUGGCAGGCAGCCACCGGGCCAGGAUGUCUACUGGUGAUUAGCCAACGACACUGAACAUUCCCCCGGAGGAGCCGCUGAAAAGUUUUCAACAGGGAAUGCUCUGGUCAUGCUUGUAUGUUAGAAAAACUGCUCCAGCCUCAGCUGCACACUGAUUUGGGAGAGCCUCGGUGGAGACCAGUCAUCCGAGGGACAAGGACAGGGGUCUGAACCAAGUCACUUGUCAUGGGACUCCACGUGCUAAGGCUCAGACUGAGGAGAGAGGCCUCUAUUUGGAAAGUAGACUCUUUAGAGCAUAUUCAUCUAGAUGGACAGAUGAGAACAAAGAAAAAACCAGAAGAUGGAGUCCCACUGUGCCCUUCCUUCUCUGUCGCCUCCUGCAUCUAAUCGGAUCGUGUCAUGUUUCUGGCUCAACUCUUUCCAUGAUUUUCCUUAGCUUUCAGGAAAAAGUUCAUACCCUUGGGUUAAUCAAAUAAAGCGUUUUCUAAUCUGG